GUGAUGGCCUGGGAGGGGCCCAGGAGACUAGUUCCUGGCAGUGGCUGAAGAGAUACCCAAGGGUGAGCUCUCAGGUACUGGACAACCAGCUGGUUCUGCAGGGGGGUGGUGCAGGGUAAGCUGGGCUGGCCUGGAAUUUCCCUGAGGCUACCCUGCCUUGUCUACCUAGAUUAUCCACUGGGCCUGAUCCUGUUCCUUGCCUCCCUUGUCCACCUCAUUGACCUCUCCAGCUUCUGGUGACUCCUUGUAGGCAUUCUCUCAUCCACGUCCUGCAUGUCCUCAUCGUCCUCAUUGUCCUCUUCACCAUCCUCGUCAUCAUCUUCAUCCCCUUCCUCCUUAUCUUCACAGUGCUCUCAGGACAGCUUGCCAGGAGACAGCUGGUUGCCGUCUCUGUCUGCGGUGCUCUGGAGUCAGGCUCGAUGGUCUCGUUCUUGCUGCUCUGCAGCUCCGUCUCGUCCACACGGGGCCAAUCCAGAUUGAACCACAGUGUCUCAGUCAUACGGGGAAGAGUGAGGAAAACAAGGUGGACAUGGCUCCUAGACUGAGAAUGAAGAUCCAAGUCAGCACAGAGAAUAGUUUACAGGCUUAACAACAACAAAGAUGACGGCAAAUAGCAGUGGUGAUGAGGCGGAGUCUAUGAAAGAGACUCAUUCAUUGUUCGGGGUGGCUGAACUCCCGCUGUGAGCCAGAAGCUGGAGGGCAUCGGAACAGCUCUUAUCUGUGUGUGCUUUACGGUUAUCACAUGAAUCAUACUCCGAGAGCCUUGGGAAGUUUGUGGUACUGCUGCCAUUUAACGAGGAAAUUGGGGAUCAGCUUUACAACGCGCCUGAGAUGACCACACUCACAUGGGAGAACCAUGAGAACACAAUGAUUCUGCAGUUCAGUUCAUCAGCUUCUGGCCACCAAUGUUGUCCCAUCCCCAUCCCCGAUGUCGUCACAUCAGCAUCAGCAUACGGGGGAAAAUGCUGGCUAGUUCCAAACCACGCGCUUCGGAACCAGGCAGAUCUGAAUUUGAAUUCUUUCACUGUUCCCUUGGGCGAGUUACUAACACUUCUCUAUGUCAGUUUCUGCAUUGAUUAAGUAGAGGUGAUGAUGGCACAUCAUUGUUUUCAGGAGAAAAAAGGAUAAAGUAGGUAAAG
rnacentral:lncRNA from 1 species